AGCGUUACCCGAUUUACUGGCGUAAGGGCGUGUACGCGGUCUUUCAAGUCCGAUGCUAAAGACUGGGGCUCAACCCCAGGGGUGCGUUGGAUACUGUGAGGCUAGACGGUCGGAGGGGGUAGCGGAAUUUCCGGAGUAGCGGUGAAAUGCGCAGAUACCGGAAGGAACGCCAAUAGCGAAGGCAGCUACCUGGACGACUUGUGACGCUGAGGCGCGAAAGCGUGGGGAGCAAACCGGAUUAGAUACCCGGGUAGUCCACGCCCUAAACCAUGAGUGCUGGGUGUCCGGCUUCUGCUGGGUGCCGUAGCUAACGCGCUAAGCACUCCGCCUGGGAAGUACGCACGCAAGUGUGAAACUCAAAGGAAUUGACGGGGGCCCGCACAAGCGGUGGAGCAUGUGGUUUAAUUCGAAGCGACGCGAAGAACCUUACCAGGCCUUGACAUGCCCGGAACCCCUCUGAAAGGAGGGGGUGCCCGCAAGGGAGCCGGGACACAGGUGCUGCAUGGCCGUCGUCAGCUCGUGUCGUGAGAUGUUGGGUUAAGUCCCGCAACGAGCGCAACCCCUAUCCCUAGUUGCCAGCAGUUCGGCUGGGCACUCUAUGGAGACUGCCUGCGAAAGCAGGAGGAAGGCGGGGAUGACGUCUGGUCCGCAUGGCCCUUACGGCCUGGGCGACACACGUGCUACAAUGCCAAGGACAGAGCGCUGCUACCUCGCGAGAGGACGCCAAUCGCAAAAACCUUGGCUCAGUUCGGAUUGGAGUCUGCAACUCGACUCCAUGAAG
rnacentral:rRNA from 1 species